rnacentral:tRNA from 1 species
AGAGCUUUAGUUUAAGUAAAAUGUCUGUGUUGCAAGCAGAAGAUGUGGGUAUCUGCAAGUUCUC